GACAGAGGGUGCGAACGUUGCUCGGAAUUACUGGGCGUAAAGCGCGUGUAGGCGGGUAAUCAAGUCAGGUGUGAAAUCCCUGGGCUCAACCCAGGAACUGCACUUGAAACUGGUUGCCUUGAGUGUUGGAGAGGGAAGCGGAAUUCCUGGUGUAGAGGUGAAAUUCGUAGAUAUCAGGAGGAACACCGGUGGCGAAGGCGGCUACCUGGACCGAUAUUGACGCUGAGACGCGAAAGCGUGGGGAGCAAACAGG
rnacentral:rRNA from 1 species